AGAGUUUGAUCCUGGCUCAGGACGAACGCUGGCGGCGUGCUUAACACAUGCAAGUCGAGCGGGGAUAUUUGCCGGAGAGCUUCGGCAGGAAGGCAGAUAUUCCAGCGGCGGACGGGUGAGUAACGCGUGAGCAAUCUGUCCCAGACAGGGGGAUAACACUGUGAAAACAGUGCUAAUACCGCAUAAGACCACGAAGCGGCAUCGCUAUGAGGUAAAAGAAUUAUCGGUUUGGGGUGAGCUCGCGUCCCAUUAGAUAGUUGGUGAGGUAACGGCCCACCAAGUCGACGAUGGGUAGCCGACCUGAGAGGGUGAUCGGCCACAUUGGAACUGAGACACGGUCCAGACUCCUACGGGAGGCAGCAGUGGGGAAUAUUGGGCAAUGGGCGAAAGCCUGACCCAGCAACGCCGCGUGAAGGAAGAAGGUUUUCGGAUUGUAAACUUCUGUCCUAAGUGACGAAGGAAGUGACGGUAGCUUAGGAGGAAGCCCCGGCUAACUACGUGCCAGCAGCCGCGGUAAUACGUAGGGGGCGAGCGUUGUCCGGAAUGACUGGGCGUAAAGGGCGUGUAGGCGGCUCUUUAAGUAUGGAGUGAAACCCCAGCUUUCAAGGUUGGGCAUGCUUUGUAGACUGGAGAGCUUGAGUGCGGAAGAGGUAAGUGGAAUUCCCAGUGUAGCGGUGAAAUGCGUAGAGAUUGGGAGGAACACCAGUGGCGAAGGCGACUUACUGGGCCGUAACUGACGCUGAGGCGCGAAAGCGUGGGGAGCGAACAGGAUUAGAUACCCUGGAAGUCCACGCUGUAAACGAUGAAUACUAAGUGUUGGCCCCCGAAGGGUGUCGGUGCCUGCCGCAAACCCCAUAAGUAUUCCCUCCUGGGGAGUACUUACGCCAGUAUGAAACUCAAAGGAAAUUGACGGGGACCCGCACAAGCGGGGGAGCCAUGUGGUUUUAUUUGAAAGCAACGCGAAGACCCUUACCAGGUCUUGACAUUGGAAUGACAGGUUGGUAACGCGACCCUUCUUUGGGGACAUUCCACACAGGGGGUGCAUGGUUGUUGUCAGCUCGUGUCGUGAGAUGUUGGGUUAAGUCCCGCAACGAGCGCAACCCCUGUUUCUAGUAGCCAGCAGUAAGAUGGGAACUCUAGAGAGACUGCCCGGGACAAUCGGGAGGAAGGCGGGGAUGACGUCAAAUCAUCAUGCCCCUUAUGACCUGGGCUACACACGUGCUACAAUGGCGUAAACAGAGGGACGCAAACCCGCGAGGGUGAGCAAAUCCGAUAAAGUACGUCUCAGUUCGGACUGUGGCCUGCAACCCGGCCACACGAAGCCGGAAUCGCUAGUAAUCGCAGAUCAGCAUGCUGCGGUGAAUACGUUCCCGGGUCUUGCACUCAAGGCCCGUCA
rnacentral:rRNA from 1 species